CCUCCGGGGGGCAGCAGUGGGGAAUAUUGCACAAUGGGCGCAAGCCUGAUGCAGCCAUGCCGCGUGUAUGAAGAAGGCCUUCGGGUUGUAAAGUACUUUCAGUCGUGAGGAAGGUGUUAAGGUUAAUAACCUUAGCAAUUGACGUUAGCGACAGAAGAAGCACCGGCUAACUCCGUGCCAGCAGCCGCGGUAAUACGGAGGGUGCGAGCGUUAAUCGGAAUUACUGGGCGUAAAGGGCACGCAGGCGGUUAAAUAAGUUGGAUGUGAAAUUCCCGGGCUUUAACUGGGAAUGGCAAUUAAGACUGGUUAGCUAGAGGCUUGUAGAGGGGGGUAGAAUUCCAUGUGUAGCGGUUAAAUGCGUUGGGAUGGGGAGGGAUAACGGUGGCGAAGGCGGCCCCCUGGACAAAGACUGAAGCCCAGGUGCGAAAGCGUGGGGAGCAAACAGGAUUAGAUACCCGAGUAGUC
rnacentral:rRNA from 1 species